UUUCCGUAGGUGAACCUGCGGAAGGAUCAUUAAUGAUUGUGAAUAGUUACCUUUGGUGCUGGCUCCUUGCAGAGCAAGUGCACGUUGGUGGCUUUCAUCCAAUACCCAUGUGAACCUUUGGCCUCUGCUGGCUUCGGCUAGUGGAGGAAUUUUAUACACAUACUCGAAUGUAAUGAAAACUAUUGUCGUGCGCAAGCACUAAUGUACAACUUUCAACAACGGAUCUCUUGGCUCUCGCAUCGAUGAAGAACGCAGC
rnacentral:misc_RNA from 1 species